rnacentral:tRNA from 1 species
GUCUGAUUGAUGCAAUUGGCAGACAUGCCUGACUCAAAAUCAGGAUCUUUCGGGUUCGAAUCCCGAAUCAGACACCA